rnacentral:rRNA from 1 species
UACGAAGGGGGCUAGCGUUGUUCGGAAUUACUGGGCGUAAAGCGCACGUAGGCGGAUAUUUAAGUCAGGGGUGAAAUCCCAGAGCUCAACUCUGGAACUGCCUUUGAUACUGGGUAUCUUGAGUAUGGAAGAGGUGAGUGGAAUUCCUGGUGUAGCGGUGAAAUGCGCAGAUAUCAGGAAGAACACCCGUGGCGAAAGCGGCUCUCUGGAACGGUAC